rnacentral:piRNA from 1 species
UCUCACUCAAAAAUAGGCACU